CCUACGGGUGGCUGCAGUAGGGAAUUUUCCACAAUGGACGAAAGUCUGAUGGAGCAACGCCGCGUGCAGGAUGAAGGCCUUCGGGUUGUAAACUGCUUUUACUAGUGACGCGGUAACUAGUGAAUAAGGACCUGCUAACUACGUGCCAGCAGCCGCGGUCAUACGUAGGGUCCAAGCGUUAUCCGGAAUUACUGGGCGUAAAGAGUGCGUAGGUGGCAUAGUAAGCGGACAGUGAAAUCGUGUGGCUCAACCACAUAUACAUUGUCUGAACUGCUAAGCUAGAGAACGAGAGAGGUAGAUGGAAUUCCCAGUGUAGGAGUGAAAUCCGUAGAUAUUGGGAGGAACACCGAUGGCGUAAGCAGUCUACUGGCUGUUCUGACACUAAGGCACGAAAGCGUGGGGAGCAAACGGGAUUAGAUGCCCUGGUAGUC
rnacentral:rRNA from 1 species